GCCCCGAAGGAUUUCUAAGCCACGCCCACACCUGGCCGCUUGCCUUCUGCCAGGACCAGGCUUCCAGGGACCCCUUUCUGCCAACUCCUCGCAAGGGCCCAGGCAAGUGUCCUCCUGGGGGGAGGGGGAGAGGGAUGCAAGAUUCAGGGUGCCGCCUGCCUCUUCCAUCCGGUCUGUUCCCAUGGCAACCCUGGCCUGUGAAGCCCCGUUGUUGCCUCUGCACCAAACGUUGGAGAUGACACUUGGCCAGCCUUGCGGCUGCUCCUCCUGGCCCAUCUCUCCGAGGCAUGCGAUUGUCCUGCCUCCCCUUGGAAUACGUCGGACACAUUUGAACAGAAUCGCUUCCAACAGCGAGGUCCUCAAAGCCAGCACCAAGGCACAAAGGCACCCCGCCCUCCCCUUCAAAGCUACACACAGGGUCUCUUUGCAGAAAAGGCUCCAAGCUCCCUUCAAGAUCAGACGUGCUCCUGGGACCCCGCCUGCCCCGGCAGGACAGAUUGCCUUGGCGAGUUGAUCAGAUUCUAAUUAGCGCUAAUUAGUGCCCAGCAUCUGUGAGAGGAGGCGCUGGUAGCCAAGCCGGCCUCUGGUUCCGAACAUCAAAGGGAACUGAACAUCAGCCGGUGCCCGCUGAAAUGCCCGGGCAUUUCCUGCUCCUUCCAGCUGGGCACCCCUGGACUGGUGGCAUCCGCCGGAUGGGCUGUGGGCGGCGGGGGAGGCCUGGGGAGGGGCAGCCUCCCCACAGAUGCGACGCAACCACCGCCCGGCUUCCCCAAGGGCGCUGGGUGCCGGGCCCAACGUGCCUACUUCCCAGAGUGGGUGAGAGCAGCAAGGGUCUGCCGAACUGCAGUGAGCCUGGCGGGGGGGCGGAGGGCGUGAUCAGAGCCCCGACACUCGGACUUCAGCUGCAUGGUCUUCCCAGGACUUCAGGUCUGGAUGGACUUUGCCUCCUCCUAGGGUUAGAGGGGACUCUUGAGAGGAAAAAAAAGGCUGGUUCGAUUUCU